AUUGUAGAUUAAUCAUUAAUCUCUAGUAUAAGGGCCUAGUUACUGCUACUCACUCUCCAUCAACUUUCCUCCAAAUAUAGCACUUCUUUAUGUUUGUUUUGAGAAACUACCUCUCUUCUUUUGUUCUCAGUUUGUUUAGAGUUGUGUUAAUUCGCCAGCCUUUCUGCGACAAAAAAGAAUCUUGAAAAUCUCCAAGUACCAAGUAAAUCCCAUCGAUUUCUUCAACUUAGCUCCUAAGUUCCAAUGGUUAGAUUCGAUAAUGAGACAUCCUCCUCUUCCUCCUCCUCCUCCUCAUCAGCAUCAUCAUCAUUGGAAUCAUCUUCUUCAGUUUCUCCAGGGAAAUAUGAUGUUUUCUUGAGUUUCAGAGGUGAGGAUACCCGCAGGAAUUUCACGGAUCAUCUUUAUGCUGCAUUCAAAAGGAGAGGAAUCAUCACUUUUAGGGAUGACGAAAAGCUCGAGACAGGUGAACCCAUAGCACCUGAGCUCUUCAAAGCAAUUCAUGAGUCAUGGUGCUCUGUAAUCGUUUUGUCGGAAGGGUAUUGUUUUUCGAGUUGGUGCCUAGAAGAGCUUUCCGAGAUUAUUCAACAGAAAAACGACAAGGGACAUAAUGUCUUCCCCAUUUUCUAUUAUGUGGAUCCAUCUGAUUUGAGAAAACAAACCGGAAAAGUUCAAGAAGCUUUUCUUAAGCAUGAAAAUAAUUUCCAGGACAACAAAGAGAAGACACAAAGGUGGCGAUCUGCUUUAACUCAAGCAGCUAACAUCAAAGGAUGGCACUUGAGUAACAGGCAUGAAUCAGAACUUAUUGGAGAAAUCAUUAAAAAGGUAUCAACAAAAUUAUGUCAAACAUUUGCAAGUGCUCCUAAUGACAUGAUUGGAAUUGAGUCACGUUUGGAAGAGUUAAAUUGCAAAAUAGGCAUAGGGGAGGAAGAUGAUAGUGUUCAGAUUAUAGGGAUUUGUGGUAUGGGCGGGUUAGGUAAAACAACUCUUGCGAGAUUUGUUUAUACCCAAAUUUCAAGUCAUUUUGAGGGCCAAAGCUUUCUGGCCGAUGUUCGUGAAAUUGCAGAGAAACAUGGACUUGUUUGUUUGCAGAAACAACUUCUUUCCCAAAUUUUUCCAGAGGAAAGUUUCAACUUUUUUAAUGUUCAUGAUGGGAAUGACAUCAUACGUCAUAUGUUAUCUCAUAAAAAGAUUUUUGUUGUUGUUGAUGAUGUGGAUAACAUACAACACUUAAAAUGUUUGAUAGGCAAGCGAGCUUGGUUUGGUUUAGGAAGCAGGAUCAUCAUAACAACAAGAGACGAGCAUCUGCUGCAAAUCUAUGGAGUGGAUGAUGUGUAUAAUCCGACGAAAUUGAAUGCCAAGGAAGCACUUCGCCUUUUCAGUUUGAAAGCUUUCAAAAGUGAAACACCUGCAAUGGAAUUUUUUGAGCUUUCUAAACGUGUAGUGGAAUAUGCCAAUGGCCUUCCGUUAGCUCUUGAAGUUUUGGUUCUUUUCUGUCUGGCAGAUCAGAUGAAAACAGUCAGAGAAAGAUAUAUUUUAGAUAUUGCAUGCUUCUUCAAAGGAGAAAACAAAGAUAUGGUAACCAAAAUUCUUGAUGGUUGUGGCUUUUUCCGGAUAUUGGAAUAGAUGUUCUCAUCAAGAAAUCUCUUAUAACAAUUGAUGAAGACAACAAAUUGUCGAUGCAUGACUUGUUACAAGAGAUGGGAAGGAAAAUUGUUUACCAAGAAUCUCCUAAUGAACCUGGAAAACGAGCAACGGAAGCUGUUCAAGGUCUAGUCAUCGAUUCUAUCAGGAAACAGAACACUUGGACUUUGAGUGCUGCUGCCUUUUUGACGAUGAACAGGCUAAGACUGCUCAGAGUCUUCAAUGUCCCAAAUUCUCGUGAUUUCAAAUAUCUUAGUAGCGAGUUAAGGCUUUUAGAAUGGCAUGGAUAUCCUUUCAAAUCCUUCCCUUCAAGCUUCCAACUAGAGAACCUGGUUGCACUUCUUCUGCCUUAUAGCCGCAUUGAAAAAUUGUGGAAGCCAAAGAUGCCUGUAUAUAAUUUAAAAUUGGUCGACCUCAAAGGCUCUAAAAACCUUGUGAAAACACCAGACUUCAGUAUGGCCCCAAAUCUUGAAAGUUUGAUUCUGGAAGGUACUGGAAUAGUAGAUUUUGAUCCUGCCGUCAAGUUUCUAAGGAGGCUGAAGCUUUUGAAUUUAAGAAACUGCAAGAGACUUAGGAUUUUCCCAUCCAAAAUUGGGAAUGGAUCUCUAGAAACAUUAAUUCUUUCAGGUUGCUCAAAUAUAGAAAGAAUUCCAGAGAUUGUUGGGGAAAUGGAAUGUCUGAAAGAGCUUUGUUUGGAUGGGACUGGUAUUAAAGAACUUCCCUCUUCAAUUGGACAUCUCAGGCGUCUUAUGUUGCUAAAUUUGAAAGAUUGCAGUAAGCUUGAGAGUCUCCCAAGCAGCAUAGGUGGGUGUGAAUUCCUUAAAACUCUUAUUCUCUCAGGCUGCUCUAAACUUAAAAAUUUUCCAGAGAGUUUGCAACAACUAGAAUCUUUGGAAGAGCUUAACCUAAGUGAGACUGCCAUAACGACACCACCAUCCUUCAUUUUUCAUAUGAAAAAUCUCAAGUUUCUUUCUUUCCAAGGGUGCAAGGGACCACCAUAUAGAGUACGAUCACAUUGGCGUUUUAUUUCUAGGCCCACACAAAGACUUAGUUCGAACUCUAUGACCUUGAAGCUACCUGCUAUUUUGUCUGGUUUGAGUUCUUUGAAGGAGCUGAAUUUAGAUGACUGCAACCUUUAUGAUGGGGCUAUUCCUGAUGACAUUAUCAGGUUGUCCUCAUUAGAAAAACUAAGACUUUCUGAUAACAAUUUCAGGACCUUGCCUACAACCCUUGGUGGACUUUCCAAGCUUACUGAUCUAGUACUGACUGACUGCAAAAGGCUUAAAUCAUUGCCCGAGCUACCAGCAAGCAUAAAAUUAUGGUUAGACGGUUGUGGUUCAUUGGAAGCAGUUGCAAAUUCGACUACAACUUUCAAUUCACGGGCUGAUGGAUAUAUUUGUGCUUUUAACUGCUUCAAAUUGGCAGAGGGUAACGAUGCUGUAGCAAUGCUGAAAAGAUGUAUUCAGGAAGGUGCAAAGGUAAGAACAACAAAUUAUGACAUUAUAAUACCAGGAAGUGAAAUUCCAAAAUGGUUUACUAAUCAGACGGAUGACCCUUCGGAUUCAAUAAUAAAGAUACAAUUGCCUCCAGGUUUUCUGAUUGGUCGCCAGUUAGUAGGAUUCGCCUUCUGCUGUGUUUUCUUCUCUAACUUCGAUAAUAAACCUAGGAGGGGGGAGCAUAUUUCCCAUACAUCUGUUAUCCAUGGUAGAAAUUUCUCUCGAGAAUUUGGAAGAUAUGACUUUCAUUUAGAAGGUAAAUCUACGAGGGUAGGUGAGGACCACCUUUGGCUACAUUUUAUGCCUUGUAACCAGCUGCGCUUGUUUUCCUUGGCAUUUGAAUGUAAAGGACAAGAGAUUUCUGAAUUCAUCACAUAUGUGCUGAAGGAAAGUUCUGAAAUUGAGGUUUUCUUCAAAAUCUGGGGUUUCCAUUCCAAGCUGAAGAAAUGUGGGGUUCGGAUGGUGUACAAAAAAGAUUUGGAAGAGAUGGACCAAACCGGAGAUGAGCAGCAAAUCAGACCAGCUUCUUCAAAUUUUAGUGAUGCCAGUUCAAACAAUGGAUCAACCAGGAAUGAUAUCAGUUCCCCCACGCAGAGAAAAUGGUUGAAUGACAAAGCAAGUCAUCAGUGGAUCAAACCUUUUUUCUGUCACUACUGUUUAGCAUAUAUCGGAAACGAUCGAUUACUCACUCAAUUCUAGGUUUUUUGGUAUCAUAUAGAAAAUUAUUUAUAGUCUCUCGUCAACUCAUAAAUAAAAAGAUAAUGCGUUUUAACGCAUUCGAACCUCUAGCCUCCUACUUUUGACAUAAAUAGUUAAAAUAAACCAGUUAUUAUACUGUGUAUCUUUUGUAAGGUAAUUAUCUUUAUAAUUUCGAUUUCUUCCUACAAUUUAA